GCCUUUCGGGGCAUGUGCACGCCUGGCUCAUCCACUCUUCAACCUCUGUGCACUUGUUGUAGGUCGGUCGAAGGGUCACUGUGUGAACGGUGACUUGGAAGCCUUCCUAUGUUUUACUACAAACGCUUCAGUUUAAGAAUGUAAUCUCUGCGUAUAACGCAUUUAUAUACAACUUUCAGCAACGGAUCUCUUGGCUCUCGCAUCGAUGAAGAACGCAGCGAAAUGCGAUAAGUAAUGUGAAUUGCAGAAUUCAGUGAAUCAUCGAAUCUUUGAACGCACCUUGCGCUCCCUGGUAUUCCGGGGAGCAUGCCUGUUUGAGUGUCAUGGUAUUCUCGACCUUCAUAACUUUUUUGUUAUCGAAGGCUUGGACUUGGAGGCUUGUGCUGGCUUACUUGCUUAAGUCGGCUCCUCUUAAAUGUAUUAGCGUGAGUGUAACGGAUCGCUUCGGUGUGAUAAUUAUCUGCGCCGUGGUCGUGAAGUAACAUAAGCUUGCGCUUCUAACCGUCCUUCAGUUGGACAAUACACUUUGACAUCUGACCUCAAAUCAGGUAGGACUACCCGCUGAACUUAAGCAUAUCAAUAAGCGGAGGA
rnacentral:rRNA from 1 species